AGUGAACGCUGGCGGUAGGCCUAACACAUGCCAGUCGAACGGCAGCACAGUAAGAGCUUGCUCUUACGGGUGGCGAGUGGCGGACGGGUGAGGAAUACAUCGGAAUCUACUUUUUCGUGGGGGAUAACGUGGGGAAACUUACGCUAAUACCGCAUACGACCUACGGGUGAAAGCAAGGGAUCUUCGGACCUUUCGCGAUUGAAUGAGCCGAUUUCGGAUUAGCUAGUUGGCGGGGUAAAGGCCCACCAAGGCAACGAUCCGUAGCUGAUCUGAGAGGAUGAUCAGCCACACUGGAACUGAGACACGGUCCAGACUCCUACGGGAGGCAGCAGUGGGGAAUAUUGGACAAUGGGCGCAAGCCUGAUCCAGCCAUACCGCGUGGGUGAAGAAGGUCUUCGGGUUGUAAAGCCCUUUUGUUGGGAAAGAAAAGCAGCAGGUUAAUACCCCGCUGUUCUGACGGUACCCAAAGAAUAAGCACCGGCUAACUUCGUG
rnacentral:rRNA from 1 species